rnacentral:rRNA from 1 species
UAUCUCUGUAGAGUCUGCAUAUCAAUAAGCGGAGGAAAAGAAACUAACAAGGAUUCCCCUAGUAACGGCGAGUGAAGCGGGAAGAGCUCAAAUUUGAAAUCUUCAAGGUUCUACCUUGACGAAUUGUAGUUUAAAGAAGUGUUUUCUGUUAGAUGAGUAGCAAAAGUUCCUUGGAAUGGGACAUCAUAGAGGGUGAGAAUCCCGUAUUUGGUUAUUCAUUCUGGCUUUGUGAUACACUUUCAAAGAGUCGGAUUGUUUGGGAAUGCAGUCCAAAAUGGGUGGUAAAUUUCAUCUAAAGCUAAAUAUUGGCGAUGAGACCGAUAGCGAACAAGUACCGUGAGGGAAAGAUGAAAAGAACUUUGAAAAGAGAGUUAAACAGUACGUGAAAUUGUCAAAAGGGAAGCGUUUGACACCAGUGUUGUUUUUCCAAAAAAUCAAUUACGAAUGGCUUGAUUUUGUGUUGUAUUGACCUUAUCAGCUUUCUGCACUUUUUUCGAGUUUUUCUUAAUGCACUUUUUGGUUAACAAGUCAACAUCAAUUUCUUUUGUUGUAAAAGAGUAUUCGGAAGGUGGCUUUCUUUUCGGAGAAAGUGUUUAUAGCCCUAUACUUCUACAAUCGGAGAGAUUGAGGUCUGCAGCGUAGAUCCUUCGGGGUUAGAUACACUUGUGCUAAGUUGUAGCUUUUCAUAGACAACUUGUUGACUAUGUUUAGUCAUGCGGCUUACUCGCUUGUGCUAUUUUACCUACGCUUAGGAUGUUGACUGAUAUGUAGUCGU